rnacentral:rRNA from 1 species
GAUGAACGCUGGCGGCGUGCCUAAUACAUGCAAGUCGAACGAAACUUCUUUAUCACCGAGUGCUUGCACUCACCGAUAAAGAGUUGAGUGGCGAACGGGUGAGUAACACGUGGGCAACCUGCCCAAAAGAGGGGGAUAACACUUGGAAACAGGUGCUAAUACCGCAUAACCAUAGUUACCGCAUGGUAACUAUGUAAAAGGUGGCUAUACUACCGCUUUUGGAUGGGCCCGCGGCGCAUUAGCUAGUUGGUAGGGUAAAGGCUUACCAAGGCAAUGAUGCGUAGCCGAAUUGAGAGGUUGAUCGGCCACAGUGGGACUGAGACACGGCCCAAACUCCUACGGGAGGCAGCAGUAGGGAAUCUUCCACAAUGGGCGAAAGCCUGAUGGAGCAACGCCGCGUGGGUGAAGAAGGUCUUCGGAUCGUAAAACCCUGUUGUUAGAGAAGAAAGUGCGUGAGAGUAACUGGUCACGUUUCGACGGUAUCUAACCAGAAAGCCACGGCUAACUACG